rnacentral:rRNA from 1 species
GAGUUUGAUCCUGGCUCAGAUUGAACGCUGGCGGUAUGCUUAACACAUGCAAGUCGAACGGAAACGAUACUAGCUUGCUAGUAGGCGUCGAGUGGCGGACGGGUGAGUAACGCGUAGGAAUCUGCCUGAUAGUGGGGGAUAGCCCGGAGAAAUUCGGAUUAAUACCGCAUAAUCUAUUCGUAGUAAAGUGGGGGACUUUCGAGCCUCACGCUAUCAGAUGAGCCUGCGUAAGAUUAGCUAGUUGGUAGGGUAAAAGCCUACCAAGGCGACGAUCUUUAGCUGGUCUGAGAGGAUGAUCAGCCACAUCGGGACUGAGACACGGCCCGAACUCCUACGGGAGGCAGCAGUGGGGAAUAUUGGACAAUGGGGGCAACCCUGAUCCAGCAAUACCGCGUGUGUGAAGAAGGCCUGAGGGUUGUAAAGCACUUUCAAUUGUGAAGAAAAGUUAGCGGUUAAUAACCGUUAGCCUUGACGUUAACUUUAGAAGAAGCACCGGCCAACUACGUGCCAGCAGCCGCGGUAAUACGUAGGGGGCGAGCGUUGUCCGGAUUUAUUGGGCGUAAAGAGCUCGUAGGCGGUUCAACAAGUCGGUCGUAAAAGUUCAGGGCUCAACCCUGAAAUGUCGAUCGAUACUGUUGUGACUAGGAUACGGUAGAGGUGAGUGGAAUUCCGAGUGUAGCGGUGAAAUGCGUAGAUAUUCGGAGGAACACCAAUUGCGAAGGCAGCUCACUGGGCCGCUAUCGACGCUGAGGAGCGAAAGCUAGGGGAGCAAACAGGAUUAGAUACCCUGGUAGUCCUAGCUGUAAACGAUGGAUACUAGACGUAGGAACUGGAUUGACGGUUUCUGUGUCGUAGCUAACGCGUUAAGUAUCCCGCCUGGGGAGUACGGUCGCAAGACUAAAACUCAAAGGAAUUGACGGGACCCCGCACAAGCGGCGGAGCAUGCGGCUUAAUUCGAUGAUACCCGUAGAACCUUACCUGGACUUGACAUAUAGGGUCUAGCUAUAGAGAUAUAGUGUGCAUUAGCGCCCUAUACAGGUGGUGCAUGGCUGUCGUCAGCUCGUGUCGUGAGAUGUUGGGUUAAGUUCCGCAACGAGCGCAACCCCUGUCCUAUGUUGCCAGCAUUUAGUUGGGGACUCAUAGGAGACUGCCGGUGAUAAACCGGAGGAAGGUGGGGACGACGUCAAGUCAUCAUGCCCCUUAUGUCCAGGGCUGCACGCAUGCUACAAUGGCAAGUACAACGAGUCGCAAUACCGCGAGGUGGAGCAAAUCUCUUAAAGCUUGUCUCAGUUCGGAUAGGAGUCUGCAACUCGACUCCUUGAAGUUGGAGUCGCUAGUAAUCGCAAAUCAGCAAAGUUGCGGUGAAUACGUUCUCGGGGUUUGCACACACUGCCCGUC